rnacentral:rRNA from 1 species
UACGAAGGGGGCUAGCGUUGCUCGGAAUGACUGGGCGUAAAGGGCGCGUAGGCGGAUGGCUUUGUCGGGCGUGAAAUUCCAGGGCUUAACCUUGGGGCUGCGUUCGAGACGGGUUGUCUUGAGUGGGGAAGAGGGUCGUGGAAUUCCCAGUGUAGAGGUGAAAUUCGUAGAUAUUGGGAAGAACACCGGUGGCGAAGGCGGCGACCUGGUCCUUGACUGACGCUGAGGCGCGAAAGCGUGGGGAGCAACAGG